CACAUACGGUUUUAUGAUGAAACGUUUUUUCCUACAUUAAUAUUGAUGUCAGCUUAAUAUUCCAUUUCACAAACGUACUAUCAACCCUGGGAUUCUGGUUAAGUGUUUACAACUGUCCUUCAGAACAAGCCCCGAUUUGUAGCUUUUGCCAAUUUCCCUGGUGCAAAUAUUCCGGACCACCUCCAAUUUCAAGGUAUCAGUCUUUACACCGUUCUUGAACUCCUGCCACGGAAAGAAGGAAUGAGAAAUGAAGGACCAGAAUAAAUAUCGGACAGGAAAACCCUACUACGUCCAAAUUCUUGCACAACACAGAGAUUCGACUGCACCGAACCACAUCUGAACAGAGUGACAGCUACGGACUUAAAAAUCACUUUUCUUUCUUCAAAAUUUUACCCAGCAAAUGUCAUGGUAGAAGGUGCUCGUGAUGGCACUGAGUUCAGAGUGCUGCACUGAGAGGAGGAAUGAGUGUGACAGGGAAGGAAACGUAGAAGUCAGCCAAUAUCAGGGUAUCUAUUCACCCCUGCCGAUACAGAGUCCACUACAUGUGGAAAAAUCAAAAUCCAUUCCGUCUGGUCGACGUUUCUCAAGCUUUAGUUAUUAGAAUCACCUUUUUAAUAAUGAUCCCAUCUGACAAGAGCGGAAUACAUAAUCCCCUUAAGGAUACAUGACACAUUCCCCAGGACAGACCGUAUAUUAGGCCACAAAACAAGUCUUAGCAAAUGCGACAAGACUGAAAUCAUACCAAGUAUCUUCUCAGACCACAAUGGCAUGAAACUAGAAGUCAGCAACAAGAAGAAAGCUACACAAAUCACAAACAUAAGGAAAUUAAACAACACUCUUCUGAACAUUUGAUGAAUCAAAGAAGAAAUGAAAGGGGGAGAUACAAAAGUUCCCCGGGACAAACAAAAAUGAAAACAACAUACCAGAACUUAUUGGAUAUUACACAUAAAAGGAUGAAACUGAACCCGUAUCUUAUACCACUCACAAAAAUUAACUCAAAAUGGAUUAAAGACUUCAAUAUUAGACCUGAAACAUGAAACUCCUAGAGGAAAACCCUGGACUAGAGCUCCUUGACAUGCGUCUCGAUAAUGAUUUUUUUUUUUGAGUGUGAUACCUUAAGCAUAGGCAACAAAAUAAAAAAUAAUCAAGUGAGUCCACAUCAAACUAAAAAGAUUCUGCACAGCGAAAGAAACCAUCAACAAAGUGAAAAGACAAGCUUUGGAAUGGAAAAAAAAAUUUGCCAACCAUAUGUCUGAUAAGGGGUUAAUAUCCCAAAUAGGUAAAUAACUCGUGGAACUCAAUCACAAACAAAACAAAACAAAACAAAACAAAAAAACAAGCUGAAACAAACAAACAAAAACAACAAACAAGUAACCCAAAUAAAAAAUGGGCAAAGUACCUGAAUAGGUAUUUCUCCAAAGAAGAUGGACGCAAGGUCAACAGGUAUAUGAAAAGAUGCUCACUUGUCAUCACUUGUCAUCAGGGAGAUGCAAAUUCACGUCACUAUGAGGUAUCACCUC